rnacentral:rRNA from 1 species
AGUGAACGCUGGCGGCGUGCUUAACACAUGCAAGUCGAACGAGAACGGAUUAUAGCUUGCUAUAAUUGUCAGCUAAGUGGCGCACGGGUGAGUAAUGUAUAGGUAAUAUGCCUCUUACUAAGGGAUAACAAAUGGAAACGUUUGCUAAUACCUUAUACUCCUUAUUAACAUAAGUUAAUAAGGGAAAGAUUUAUUGGUAAGAGAUUAGCCUGUAUUGUAUCAGUUAGUUGGUGGGGUAAUGGCUUACCAAGACUAUGACACAUAACUGGUUUGAGAGGAUGAUCAGUCACACUGGAACUGAGACACGGUCCAGACUCAUACAGGAGGCAGCAGUGGGGAAUAUUGCACAAUGGACGAGAGUCUGAUGCAGCAACGCCGCGUGGAGGAUGACACAUUUCGGUGCGUAAACUCCUUUUAUAUGAGAAGAUAAUGACGGUAUUAUAUGAAUAAGCACCGGCUAACUCCGUGCCAGCCGCCGCAGUAA